UCUCUGUGUAGCUUUGGAACCUGUUCUAGAACUCACUCUGUAGACCAGGCUCUCCUCAAACUCACAGAGAUCCAUGUGCCUCUGCCUCCCAAGUGUGUAAUGUAUGUGUGUCUGUGUGUAGGUGGAUGCAGUACAGAUAGAAGCCAGAAGAGGGCAUCAGAUCCUCCUGGCACCUUAUAUGGGUGCUGGGAACUGAACCCUGCAAGAGCAGCAAGUUCUCUUAACUGCUGAGCGGUUUCUCCUGCCCUUGAAACAUCGUUUUGGAAGGACACUCUCAAGCUAUAUUUUGCUGUGCUGGGUAGGGCCUGAAUCCAGGGCCUCGAAUUUGUAUGACAAGCACUCAAGCUCAGACCUGGAAUCCUGACCAUUCAUUCAUUCAUUCAUUCAUUCAUUCAUUUUUUUGUAUAUUGUUUGUUUUGAGAUGAAGUUUCACUAUAUAGCCCUGGCAAUCUGGAAUUCACCGUGUAGUCCAAACUGACGAGGAGCUUGCAGAGAUCCUGCUGUCAUUGCCUUCUCCAGUGCUGAGAUUACAGUUCUGGACCACGACACCCUCAUCCUGAGAUCCUCUUCUACAUCCAUUACCAUCUGUUGACUGCUGGUUUGAGCAAGGAGAAGUGAUUUCUGGGCCAGUGGAGGAUUGAGAAAAGCAGACGGAGAACUGGAAAGGGAGUAGGGCUGGGGCAGAUCCGUGGAGGAGAAGGCUCUGUAGGUAUGAGUGGACCCCGUCAGCCCUGCCUCCCUGAAAAGCAGAGCUGUGCAUUUGGGCUGAGAGUAGGAUGAAUGCCCUGGGCUCUCUGGUCCAUUGAUCACAGCCAGUUUCCUGUCCCUGUCUCUCUCCCCUUGGUUACCCAUCUUCCACAGGUGCAUCCGUCUGCAGCAUUACAUGUGUCACAGUUGCUUUUGGUCUUGCUUGCUCCUCUGGCCCACUGAAAUAAUUAGAAUGAAAAUUUCAAUUAUAAUGCCACCAGAUGCUCUGUUAAUAAGAGAGGUGAGCGUUCCACCCUGCUGUAAGGAAGACAGGAUCUUCCUGCGGAGCUAAGUCUUUGGAGGCCCAAAGGGCUGGUGGAGGAAUAAGCAGGCAUGCAGGUGGGCCAAGGAGUCAGUUAAGGUCGCUGCUCUUUGGCCUCUCCAUAGGCGGCUCUCCUUCUGUUCUCAGGUCUCAGACAAUGUCCACGGAUGUCAUCUUCCACCCUUGUUGGUUUCUAAUUCUCUCUGCUUCGAGAGAUAGGCUGGGGACUGGUGAGCCGGCAAGAGGAUGUGGGAGAGGAGGAAUUUCAUGGACAAUGGAAGAGUGAAUUCAGGCGGGAGUUUUCUUGGAGGUUCAUAGGUGGAAGUUUAAGAUGAAGAAAGGCAGAGCACCUGUGUGAAGCAGGUCCUAGAGUAUUCCAUGGAAAAGGAUGUGGUAGUUCCUGCUGUUUUUCUGCUGCUACCUCGGAAUAACACAGACUGGGUAAUUUAUAAAGAAUAAAGGCUUGUCCCGGAGAGCUGUUUUGGUUAUAAAGUGAUCAUUGCCCAAACGUGAGGACUUGAAUUGGAUGCCCCAGAACCAAGAAGUGGCAUGCACUUGUAAUACCAGCACUGGGGGCCCUGGCCAGAUGGAUGGGAUCCCUGGACUCAGUGGCCUGCGAGCCCAGCCUAGUCCACGAGCUGCAGGACCGUGAGAGUCACUGUCUGAAAAAAACAAGGGAAAGCGACUGAGUUUAGGAAUAACACUUCCCAGGUGCACAGGAACAUGAGAUAGCUCUGUGGGGCUCUCCGUGAGGGGCUGUUGGCCACAGAGGCUUGGUGAUUUCCAGCUGAAUUAGAGUGUGAACUGUUUCCGUGGAAUAUUGGUCUUUCACUGGGGUUUGGAGUCCAGGAAAAGGCUUUUUGGCCAGCUUUAGGUAUUGGGUGAGGGUGUAAAGGGGUCUUCAUGGGUCUAAAAAUGUAAGGUACACCACAAUUCUUUCAAUAAUGAAUAUCAAUAAAAUUAAGGGUUGGAGUUGCAGUUGAG
ensembl:lncRNA